AUCAAAAACAUGUCUUUUUGAUAAUAAUUUAAAGUCUGACCUGCCCACUGAUUAAAUUAAAGGGCCGCAGUAUUUUGACUGUGCAAAGGUAGCAUAAUCAUUAGUCUUUUAAUUGAGGACUGGUAUGAAUGGUUUAACGAAAUAUUAACUGUCUCAUAAUAAUAAUAUAGAAUUUAACUUUUAAGUCAAAAGGCUUAGAUAUAAUUAUAGGACGAGAAGACCCUAUAGAGCUUUAUAUUUAUAAUUUAAAUUUUAUUUAGAUGUUUAUAAAAUUUAAAAUUAAAAAAUAUUUUAUUGGGGUGAUAAGAAGAUAAAAAUAACUCUUUAAUUAUAUUAACAUUAAUUUAUGAUUAAUUGAUCCAUUAAUAAUGAUUAUAAGAUUAAGUUACCUUAGGGAUAACAGCGUAAUGUUUUUUAAGAGUUCUUAUCAACAAAAAAGAUUGCGACCUCGAUGUUGGAUUAAGGUAAUAAUUGGGUGUAGAAGUUCAAAUUUUAGGUCUGUUCGACCUUUAAAUCCUUACGUGAUCUGAGUC
rnacentral:rRNA from 1 species